rnacentral:rRNA from 1 species
UACGUAGGGAGCGAGCGUUAUCCGGAAUUAUUGGGCGUAAAGGGAGCGUAGACGGCGAUGCAAGCCAGAUGUGAAAGCCCGGGGCUCAACCCCGGGACUGCAUUUGGAACUGUGUGGCUGGAGUGCAGGAGAGGUAAGCGGAAUUCCUAGUGUAGCGGUGAAAUGCGUAGAUAUUAGGAGGAACACCAGUGGCGAAGGCGGCUUACUGGACUGUAACUGACGUUGAGGCUCGAAAGCGUGGGGAGCAAACAGG